AGCAUACAACCAUACCAACAACCAUCCGUGGAGAUCAGUGGACAAAGGGAUGGACAAUGGGCCGCACUGAAAAUGUUUGCAAAGAAAGUGGCCACUGUAAUCGAUGGAGGCUCAGGGCUGUACCAUUCUGCUCAUCUGAUGAAGGUGCACAUGGAUCAGAUUCAAACUUUGAAGACCGAGAUCGAUUAAUUGAAGGCAGACCAGCAGAAAGAGAAACAUUGGCAGGGGCAGAGAUACGAGCGACAGCUGAUGCAUUGGUCCAGAGCCAGGCGGCAUUGGCAGAGAGUCAGGCGGAGAAUGAUGCGUUGAAGAGGGCGAGGAAUGAGAUGGAGUCACAAUCCAUACCCGUGCCGGUGUGUCAGGUACACCUGUGACCUCUGGAACUCCACCUCCGACAGGCAGUCAACAUACCUGGCGGGUUCAUCAAGUUGUCUGUUCACCCUGACAUUUCCAUUCCUCUUCUGACAACAGAACUUGAUCAACUGCUCACCAGGCACAGCAAGGGCCGUCUGGACCAUCAUACUGUUCUGCUAUAGCCUAAUAAACAAAUGCAGGGAGCUUAUCUUCAAAAUGCUUUAUUAUCCAAAUGUCAUAGCAUGUACUGUAUUUCUUCAUCAGCAUCUUUCUGCUUUCGUUAAUAAAAUAAUGAUAAAUACAUUCUAAAUGCCGAUUUUUAUUUAGUUAUGGAUCCAUAAUGAAUUACUAAGGGAAAAAAUAUCACUGAAUUGCAGAAAUAUUUGAACAAAGUUGUCUAAUGAAGGUAAACAAAUUGUUGUUCACUGGAAAAUACUCUUUCAAACACACACGAUCAUGUUGUACAGUGCCAUUAUGGCUAUUAGCAGGUAGCUGGACUAUAGAAUUGCCUAGGAGGGUAGGGGGAGAAUUCUAUCGUCAAAUAUAUUUCUUAGGUUGGUCGUGAUUGGUUGCAAUUUCAGUUUAAUCCACCAGAAAAUACCAAACAAAUAAUACAAAAAGUAUUAUUCUUAUUAGGUAUCAUAUCCGACCGUGAUUGGGAGUUCCAAAGGGCGGCGCACAAUUUGCCCAGCGUUUCUCUCCCUCUAAAACCAGAAAUGCUUUGGCCUUUAGUCAGAUUACAAUCGCUCACUUUAUUUUUAUUUUUUUAAAAGCGAAAUAACCUCAAAUAUUGUUUAUAUAUUAUCAAGUUGAUGGCACAGUCAUAUAGCCCGGCACCUACAUAAACAGUUGUCUAAGACACUUGGUAGGCCUACAGUGUAUAUAUAGAAACAUUUGACUUGAGUCUCCGCCAAUAAUUACAGAGGAUUGGAGGAUUCUUCAAAUCCUAUUGCUUCUAACAUCAAUAUGCUCUUUAAAUAAGACCUGCA
rnacentral:lncRNA from 13 species